CCUCUCUCUCUCUAGGUAGCAUUGAAGGACUGUAAGAGGACCCCCACUAAAGUCUCUUCUAUGGAUUUGUUACUAACUCCAGAGACCAGAGCAGACCUCUUACGAUAUUCCUGUCAGCUCUCACUGGACCCAAACAAAGCACAGAGAGAGCUCUCUCUGUCUGAGGAGAACAGGGAAGUGACGUGUUCAAGUGGGGCAAAGGUGCCAUGUUCUGACCAUCCAGACAGAUUCACCUUCUUCAACCAGGUGCUGUGUAGAGAGGCUCUGUUUGGGCGCUGUUACUGGGAGGUGGAAUGGAGAGGUGGCAAGGUUUUUAUAGGACAUCAUUAAGACAUCAGCAGAACAGAUACUUUUCUUGGUAACGAUGACAAGUCCUGGAGUAUACAAUGCUAUAAUGAACGUUAUUAUUUCAAUCAUAACCAUCUUAUAACUUUAGUAGCAGGCCCUCAGUCCUCCAGAGUAGGAGUGUACCUGGAUCACAAGGCAGGUACUCUGUCCUUCUACAGUGUCGUCUCUGACACAGUGACCCUCCUCCACAGAGUCCAGACCACCUUCACCCAGCCACUCUACCCUGGGAUUUACCUCGGUCGGUAUGGUGACAGUGCAGAGAUUAUUAAACUGUGGUAGAGGAUCUCAUGCAUGAGUCUAUCCACUUUUGAACAGUCAAUUUCCCAACUCAUCAACGUUUUGACGUGCUCCCUGUGUCAGGGUGAGGGCAGCAGGGUGGACCCAAGCGCAGAGACACAAGCUGGCAAGGCAGGAUCACCAAAACAAAAGGUAUUUAAGUUCCAAAAACGGGUACACGGUGGGAAAAGUCACACAUAACACAACAAGGAACCGACAAGGACUGCCAAGAGGAGCACACAGGGACAAUAGCUGAGUGAAGGGAACAGACAGGAGGUCCAUGGGAGCCAGAGAGAGAGAGACAAGACAAGAACCAGAACACACCCAGGGAGACCGACAGAAAACACCAGGCCAGGGAAAACAUGAACUUGACCCUUGUGCUCCUUUCGGAUCAUUGUGACCCACAGUCGUGGUGCAAAAGGUGGGUCACAAUGACCCGAAGGCAGCACAAGGGUUAAGCAGGGGCAUGGCCGUGUGCGUGACAACCUGUUUUGUUGACAUCGUCUCCUCGUGUUUGGUCCUGCCUGUCAGGAAUCACACCCCUCCAGUAGAACCGGAGAGGUAGGGACUUUACUACUGUUGAAUAAUCCCUGACAAUUACACCACGUCAAGACAUCUUAUGCACAUUUCAAAUGCAUUCAAAAGAGACAAAAUGGGCAAGCGUUAGGCCUCCAGGUAAAUCUGUUCCCCCUGUGUCCUCAGUGUAAGAGACUAGUUUAAACGUGUUAUAAUGAUGACUGUAAAUAUACCACCGGCAACACUGUACUGCUUAGAGGAUCAUAUUGUUUUAGAUUUGGAACUGUCAGUUUCCCACAUCGAUGUUGAGACAUCCCUGUUAAAGUCGUCCCCUCAUGUGCGAUCCUGCAUCUCAGGAAUCCCAUCCCUCAAAUCAAGACCUGUGGCGUGUUUACUGUACUGUUGUUGAAGUGAAAUGCCUUCCUCAGGCCUCCAGCUAAAUCGGUCCCCCUUGUGUCCCCAGUAAGAGACAGAUUUAUAACCAUCACCUGCAUCACUGUAGUGCUUUAUACAUUAUCACACUGUAAUAUAUGGAGGGGGGGGGGGGGGAUAACCUGGAUUACAAGGCAGGUACUCUGUCCUUCUACAGUGUCCUCUCUGACACAGUGCCCCUCCUCCAGGGUCCAGACCACCUUCACCCAGACACUCUGUCCUGGGAUUUAUCUUGGUCAGUCAGGCGUCAGCGCUGAGAUGAUUAAGAUGUUAUAGAGGAUCUUAUACAAUUAUCUUUUAGAUUUGGAACUGCCAGUUUCCCACAUCAAUUGCCUCCAAUUUCGUUGUACAGUAUAGGCUACAAUGACAAGUAAAGAUAUUCUGUCGAUGUUCAGACAUGCUCCCUGUUAAAGUCGUCCCCUCAUGUUUGAUCCUGCGUCUCAGGAAUCACAUCCCUCAAGUCAAGACCUGUGGGUGUUUACUGUACUAUUUUGGAAGUGAAAUCCCUGCCAUAAAACUUGCUAAAUGCAAAUGUCUUAUGUUUUCAAAAGAGUUAGGUGUGGGCGUAUUGUGGCAGCCCCAGGGAUCCGAAGCCGCCUCGCGGCGAGUUUGGGCGCCGUCACUUUAAGAAAUCUCUCAAUUCCCGCUCUGCACGGCUGCAACCCAUUUGAAUGUUGUUAUUUGUUCAUUAUAAGCACGUGCUUUUGACCCUCUUUUGGUCGCGAGUCUCCGGAAUUGUGUGCGUCUUAGCCUUGGUUUUGUCUGUGGCUUGCAACAGUAUUGGGGAUACAAAAUAAAGUAUGUGUUAAC